GUUGUCAUGCCAAUGGCACUGCCCGGUAGCUAAAUGCGGAAGAGAUAAGUGCUGAAAGCAUCUAAGCACGAAACUUGCCCCGAGAUGAGUUCUCCCUGACUCCUUGAGAGUCCUGAAGGAACGUUGAAGACGACGACGUUGAUAGGCCGGGUGUGUAAGCGCAGCGAUGCGUUGAGCUAACCGGUACUAAUGAACCGUGAGGCUUAACCUUACAACGCCGAAG
rnacentral:rRNA from 1 species